GAAUUUUGUUUGCAUGAACAGGACAGCUACUGACCCUCAUACCUCCCUUCACCAGUAGGGCCAUCUGUUCUUUGCUCUUGCCCCUUGGGAGGGGUCGGACCUGGAGUCUCUCUGGGAGAAGGACUUUCCAGAAGGCUAUCUUUGUCUCUGCUCAUGGCUAGGACUCAGGAGGUCCAAGUGCCGGUUCUGUGUGCUCUCUAGUCCGCCCGGAGACUUUGGUGCCCUGGACCAGCACCAGCAGCCUUUUUGCCAAGUGUGAAGCCCUAAAAAUCACAUUCUGCUGAUCCAGACACAGUGUUUUGCUCCUACUGAAACAAAGGCAGGCCGCAGUCCAGAGAUGCGCAGUGUGAGAGGGGAAGGAGAAAUCAGGGAAUGGACUAGCAUUACGAGGAACCUGGGGAAGCCGAGAGCUUGGAAAGACCUCUCUCUCAGAGUUGGAGAACCAGCCCUGUCCACACCUCAACCUUGGCCAUCCAGCCUGUAGAACUAUAGAACCUCAAAUCUCUGCUAUACAAAGCCAUGCGGCCUGCACACGUGGCAUCUCUGAGGCACUGGUGUGGUACUGGGUGUCCUCUCUUAAAACUUCUGCUGCUUAUUCAUUCAAUCAAGGGAGUGUUUCCACCAUGUUUGUCUGCUGUUUUCAUCCAGGGAACUUUCUAGAAUCUGUGGGUGUGGUGCUUUGGCAAUAGGCUUUUGGGAGGUGCUGGCCUGUGGGGGCAGGGGAGUUCUUAGUCAGAAACAGCUGAAAGGACUCUGACCCCUGAGCAUGUGCAAACCCACUCUCCUUCAGGAGACUGAGGGGAAUGGACUCAUAGGACUCAUAGGUCAUGGUCUCAGCAAUGUUGGGGAGUAAGAUGGGGCUCUGGCCAGCAGGCUUCAAGGAUAUAUCUUACAAAUGAGACAGGUGAGCCUGGCUUUUGGCUGCUUUCUAGGAUUCUGGAAUUUUGCUGUUAGGUCUUGUGUGUGU